rnacentral:rRNA from 1 species
CACGGGGGGAGCAAGCGUUGUUCGGAAUCACUGGGCGUAAAGGGCGUGUAGGCGGUCAGGUAAGUGGGAUGUGAAAUGCCCCGGCUCACCCGGGGACCGGCAUCCCAUACUGCCUGGCUUGAGUACGGGAGAGGAUGUGGGAAUUCCUGGUGUAGCGGUGAAAUGCGUAGAUAUCAGGAGGAACACCGGUGGCGAAGGCGCACAUCUGGCCCGAUACUGACGCUGAGGCGCGAAAGCUAGGGGAGCAAACGGG